CAUGAUGCAAUAAUGAAAGGUGUUAUACGUUGGCAACUUCUCGCUCUAAUCCGCCAUCUUGAACUACCUUAGGAGAAACUGUGUUGUUUCUUUGCUAUUUUCACUGAACAUUUCCCAAAAUAUUAGAAAAAUAUUCUGAACAAGCUACAUUGAUUAAAUUUUCGUUGUUCGUUUUGUUCUUAUUCGCUGACAUUUGUUUUCCAAUUGCGUGAAAUUUGGUAAUUUCCUUAGUGUUUCGCUGACCGACCUGUGCUGGUAUUGUGAUUAAGAGCUAAUACACAUUUUUCGGACGAUUCUGCUGUGCUGCGUUCCUGCUCCGCCUGUAUAUUGCUCCGCCCGUAUUUUAUAGUGUUGCAUUCCUGUUGCGCCUUUGCAUUAGUGUGUGCGUUGUGAUUUAGACACGUUGAAAUUUUUUGUAUGCUUCUGCUGUGCUGCGUUCCUGCUCCACCCGUGUAUUAGAUUGCUGCGUUCCUGUUAACAUACAUAUCGUCGCUUAAAGUACAAAACCGCGUAACUGACAUUUGCUGCUAAAAAUUGGAUUCGCUCACACACGUUUUUGGAUCAAUCCUUAUCCAUUCUUCCUGAAAUAUACUAGCCAAAAAUGCGAUUGCUUUUUACAAAAAGAUAACCAUUUUGAAAUAUGAGUGUUUUUACUCUCUAGAAAUUAAUUUAUGCAACCUCGCAUACGUGGGUUUGCAUUAUCUCUAUACGCGGUUUUGCAAUUUAUUGAUACAUGGUUUUGUACUUUAAACGACGAUAUGUAUGUAGAUGUAUGUACAUGUAUAUCACAUAUAUUGA